rnacentral:lncRNA from 1 species
UGGAAAGACCGUGGAUUUGCAAGCUGACAAUUGAAUGCUGGCUCUAUUGGGGUGGCAUCUUCUGAUCACUCAUGUCAUCAAUUGCUAGAAAAAUGAGAACUCUCCAGAAGAUCAAGUACUGUGCAGUAGUUACCAUGCACAGGCCCCAUUGAGGCCUGGCCUUUGAAGUGCCUUGUUCACCAACCUUAAAGGAAGGGAAAUUUGAUGCUGAAAAAUGGACCUUUUCCAAAAUAGUGGUUCAAGCCAGAUGAGGAAUUACAGAGAAGACAGCCUUCCAUGGUCCCAUGUAACACAGUUUGGAUUAGACAUUACAAAUGGCUUCCAGUUGUAUGGAUUGCUUUCCAGACUUUGUUGUGGGAGCCACCUGAUGAGGAGGGCCGAGUGCAAGUGCAUAAGCAGCUUCCGAUCAGAACUUCUGCAUGGGCUUGGCCCAGGUAUCUUGAAACUCCAGAAAGUCCUAAAUAUAAACAAAGAGUGGAGUCCCUGAGCUUUCACCUUGUACCAUACUGGCAUGUGUGUGGAGGAGGUGACGGUGAGGAGGGAAAGAAGAGAUGAGGAAGAGAAAGAAGUGACCAAGAACUAAGGGCUCCUGUGCUGUCCUAUAAGCUGAUACUGGCAAAGGUACCAAAUUUGGCCAGUUAAGGUGCACCUGCAGCAACUGUGCACCAUCAUCGUCGUUAUCUUCAUCAUCAUUUUUGUUCUGUUUGCUGUCUGCCAACCUCUUCACUGAGCGCUUUUUUUUUUAUCUUUUGUCCUUUUAGGGCUAUACCCAUGGCAUAUGGAGUUUCCCAGGCUAGGGGUCGAAUCAGAGCUGUAGCCGCCAGCCUAUGCCAGAGCCACAGCAAUGCUGGAUCCGAGCUGUGUUUGCAACCUACACCACAUCUUACGGCAACGCCAGAUCCUUAAUCCACUGAGCGAGGCCAGGGAUCGAACCUACAACCUCAUGGUUCCUAGUCAGAUUCAUUUCCACUGUGCCACGACGGGAGCUCCUCCACUGAGCAUUUUUAUUUGAUAGUGACCCAGCCCCUUCUAGCUUCAAGGUUGUCCACAGACCUUAUGCUGCCAGAAAACUAGUUACAGAAAGGGAGACAAAAAUCCAGAGGACGGAGAAGCAUUCUGAGUUCCACUAAUGAGUGAGGUGACUCACAGCUGACUCAGACAAGCCUAGGAGAUGGAAGGCAGUGGGGGGCAGACCUCAAAGGAGCCCUGCCGAAAUGUUCAAAUAGGAGCUGGGAGGCCAGGGAUGCAGUGUUAUUUAGAGAGCAGCCUGCAGCUCUGGCAUUGAAGGGAGGAGCAGAUCCUAAAAACAGAGGGAGAAAAUUGCAUUUAAGGC